AGCUAUGAAGAGAAUGCUUUGAAAUUAUCAAGGAUUCAUCAUGAUCAGCCAACGAAGCCCCGGGAUCAAGCGGUCUUCUGGAUUGAGUUUGUCAUGCGCCACAAAGGAGCCAAGCACCUUCGGGUUGCAGCCCGUGACCUCACCUGGUUUCAGUACCACUCUUUGGAUGUGAUUGGGUUCCUGCUGGCCUGUGUGGCAAAUGUGAUAUUCAUCAUCACAAAAUAUUGCCUGUUUUGUUUCUGAAAGUUUGUCAAAACAGGAAAGAAGGAGAAAAAGGAU
rnacentral:lncRNA from 1 species